AACAAAACAACAUCAAGAUAAAAAAAUGGAUUAGAAUGAAUAGAUUAAAUAGGACCUAAUCAUGAUUAAUGGGGAUUAAAUUAUGAGCUAUAGGCCUGGGGUGUUAUUAAUGGAAAGGGAGGUAUGAAGGGAUUGCCUGGUUGGGCCAAGAAAUCGUGGGGCGAAAGACCCACUUCAACACCCAGAAUUCGGAACCCAUCCGCAACCUGGGAUCCGCAGAUAAGAAGAACAAACGCUGGAUAAUCUCUAUCCCUAGAAACCGGAUUUACCCUCAGAUAUCCACCCAUCUUGUUCAAUCGAGAAAAAGAAUCCGAAAGAUACCUAAAUAAUCUGUCUUCCUCACCGCGAAGCAUAUAACCAGUGCAACGAAGAAGAAUGAAAUCGGUACAGUUCCUCACGUCGAAAAUAAUCGGUCAAAUGGCUUACACUCACGGCGCAAGGAUCUCGAGUUUCACCCUUAAAUGACGGAAAACGCGACGGACCAAAACCUCGACGUUUGGUUUGCUCUUCUGCUCGUGGCUAAUCGGGAAGUAAAUAUUUACAUCCUCACGAUGCUGGCUUGAGAUGAGGGAUGGAUUUCGGACUCGCGUGUCGUAUGGCGGUGAAGGGAGAGCCGCGAAUUUGAUUCGCGAAGGAGGUGAAGAUUGAAGCGUGAAGAUGAUCAGCCCUUCAACAUGUGAGAUCGAAUUUCCUCCCUUUCCCUUGAUAUCUUCUGCUCACCGUUUUUCCUCUUCUCUUCUGCCUCUUCUGCUUUUGUGUUGUUCUGAUUUCGUUAUUGGGUUGUCGUUGAGGGUUCUUGGGAGAUUGAGGUUAGUUCGAAGGGUUCUGUGAGGUUGGUGCGGAGAGGGUUGAAUAGUUGAUGAAGAGUUGGUGAAGAAGUGAAGUUGCAGGGUGAUGGUUUUUGAAUAAUGGCGGUGGAGAAAUUCUGAAUCAGAAUGGUUUUCUUGCCGUCGUUUUGGGUUACGCGCUUCUGCGUUUUUACGUUUGGAGUUCCAUCGUUUUGCUACCGCAACCGUCGUCUGCGUUAUUGUGUACGGCAGCUUAUCACCUGCGUUUUGGGCUUAUGGAGGGUGAUAGGAUGUGGUUCACUGAUGGGUAACUGGGUUAAUCAAGUGGACUUUUGUAAUUUGGUUUUUUCAAAUGGAGCUUGGAUAACUAUUUUGAAUUAUUUUUGUAAAUGGAUAGGGAUAUUUGGGUCAAUGGAUAUUUUAAUAUUUGGAUAUGAAAUGGCUAUGGUUUGGUUUGACUUGAA